CGGGGUGCAGCAGGCGCGAAAACUCCACAAUGUACGGAAGUACGAUGGGGUUAUCUCGAGUGCGGUCCGAUAAGGGCUGCUUUUCCAUAGAGUAAUAUCCUGUGGGAAUAAGAGGGGGGCAGACUGGUGUCAGCCGCCGCGGUAACACCAGCCCCUCGAGUGGUGGGGACUAUUAUUUGGCCUAAAGCGUCCGUAGCUGGCUGUAUCCGUCCCCCGUUAAAUCCAGCGUCCUAAGCGUUGGACCGCGGGUGAUACCAUACAGCUAGAGGGUGGGAUAGGUGAGCGGUAUUUCUGGGGUAGGGGCGAAAUCCUUUGAUCCCAGGAGGACCACCAGUGGCGAAGGCUGCUCACUAGAACACGCCUGACGGUCAGGGACGAAAGCUGGGGCAGCGAACCGGAUUAGAUACCCGGGUAGUCCCAGCUGUAAACGAUGCUAGCUAGGUGUUGGGUCGGCCACGCGCCGCCCCAGUGCCGCAGGGAAGCCGUUAAGCUAGCCGCCUGGGGAGUACGGCCGCAAGGCUGAAACUUAAAGGAAUUGGCGGGGGAGCAC
rnacentral:rRNA from 1 species